rnacentral:rRNA from 1 species
GACGAACGCUGGCGGCGUGCCUAAUACAUGCAAGUAGAACGCUGAAGGAGGAGCUUGCUUCUCUGGAUGAGUUGCGAACGGGUGAGUAACGCGUAGGUAACCUGCCUGGUAGCGGGGGAUAACUAUUGGAAACGAUAGCUAAUACCGCAUAAUAUUGACUAUUGCAUGAUAGUCAAUUAAAAGGUGCAAUUGCAUCACUACCAGAUGGACCUGCGUUGUAUUAGCUAGUUGGUGGGGUAACGGCUCACCAAGGCGACGAUACAUAGCCGACCUGAGAGGGUGAUCGGCCACACUGGGACUGAGACACGGCCCAGACUCCUACGGGAGGCAGCAGUAGGGAAUCUUCGGCAAUGGACGGAAGUCUGACCGAGCAACGCCGCGUGAGUGAAGAAGGUUUUCGGAUCGUAAAGCUCUGUUGUAAGAGAAGAACGAGUGUGAGAGUGGAAAGUUCACACGGGACGG